rnacentral:rRNA from 1 species
UGGGGAAUAUUGCGCAAUGGGCGAAAGCCUGACGCAGCGACGCCGCGUGAGGGAUGAAGGUUUUCGGAUCGUAAACCUCUGUCAGAAGGGAAGAAACCGCACUGUGCUAAUCAGCAGUGCCUUGACGGUACCUUGAAAGGAAGCACCGGCUAACUCCGUGCCAGCAGCCGCGGUAAUACGGAGGGUGCAAGCGUUAAUCGGAAUUACUGGGCGUAAAGCGCACGUAGGCUGCUUUGUAAGUCAGGGGUGAAAUCCCACGGCUCAACCGUGGAACUGCCUUUGAUACUGCUUAGCUUGAAUCCGGGAGAGGGUGGCGGAAUUCCAGGUGUAGGAGUGAAAUCCGUAGAUAUCUGGAGGAACAUCAGUGGCGAAGGCGGCCACCUGGACCGGUAUUGACGCUGAGGUGCGAAAGCGUGGGGAGCAAACAGG